CCUACGGGUGGCAGCAGUGGGGAAUAUUGCACAAUGGGGGAAACCCUGAUGCAGCGACGCCGCGUGAGUGAAGAAGUAUUUCGGUAUGUAAAGCUCUAUCAGCAGGGAAGAAGCAAGACGGUACCUGACUCAGAAGCGCCGGCUAACUACGUGCCAGCAGCCUCGGUACUACGGAGGGGGCAAGCGUUAUCCGGAUUUACUGGGUGUAAAGGGAGCGUAGACGGUAUGGCAAGUCUGAAGUGAAAGCCCAGGGCUUAACCCUGGGACUGCUGUGGAAACUGUUAGACUAGAGUGCUGGAGAGGUAAGUGGAAUUCCUAGUGUAGCGGUGAAAUGCGUAGAUAUUAGGAGGAACACCAGUGGCGAAGGCGGCUUACUGGACAGUAACUGACGUUGAGGCUCGAAAGCGUGGGGAGCAAACAGGAUUAGAUACCCCAGUAGUC
rnacentral:rRNA from 1 species